AUCCAGAUGACGAGUGCUAAGUAGGACGAAACGCACGUCCUGGAU
rfam:Schistosoma curassoni strain Dakar, Senegal genome assembly, scaffold: SCTD_contig0002237